AUUGAACGCUGGCGGCAUGCCUUACACAUGCAAGUCGAACGGCAGCAUGGAGAGCUUGCUCUCUGAUGGCGAGUGGCGAACGGGUGAGUAAAGCAUCGGAACGUACCGUGUAGGGGGGGAUAACGUAGCGAAAGUUACGCUAAUACCGCAUACGCACUGAGGUGGAAAGCAGGGGACCGUAAGACCUUGCGCGAUACGAGCGGCCGAUGUCAGAUUAGCUAGUGGGUAGGGUAAAGGCCUACCAAGGCGACGAUCUGUAGCGGGUCUGAGAGGAUGAUCCGCCACACUGGGACUGAGACACGGCCCAGACUCCUACGGGAGGCAGCAGUGGGGAAUUUUGGACAAUGGGGGCAACCCUGAUCCAGCCAUGCCGCGUGAGUGAAGAAGGCCUUCGGGUUGUAAAGCUCUUUCGGCCGGGAAGAAAUCGCACAGGCUAAUACCCUGUGUGGAUGACGGUACCGGCAUAAGAAGCACCGGCUAACUACGUGCCAGCCGCCGCAGUAA
rnacentral:rRNA from 1 species